rnacentral:rRNA from 1 species
GACGAACGCUGGCGGCGUGCUUAACACAUGCAAGUCGAACGAGUGGCGAACGGGUGAGUAAUACGUGAGUAACCUGCCCUCUUUUUGGGAUAAGCCUCGGAAACGGGGUCUAAUACCGGAUAAAGGGGGAUGGGCCCGGGGCCUAUCAGCUGGUUGGUGGGGGGAUGGCCUACCAAGGCGGUGACGGAUAGCCGGCCUGAGAGGGUGAACAGCACCAUUAGGACGGAGAUAGGGCCCAGAAUCCCACGGGAGGCAGCAGUGGGGGUAAUGGGACAAAGGGCGAAAGCCUGGUGCAGCGACGCAGCGUGGGGAAUGAAGGCUUUGGGGUUGUAAACCGCGUUCGCAGUCGAACGGGUAGGUGGAGAAGAAGGGACGGCUAACUACGUGCCAGCAGCCGCGGUAAUAC